GACGGAGUGGGCGGGGGCGCAGGCCAUCUUACAGGGAGGGGAGGGGGGAACGGAACCUGUUUCCUGAGGCGUCUUUGGGCGGCGCGCGCUGGGGCUGCGCGCAGGACGGUUGCCCAGCCUGUGCGGGCGCAAGGUUGGGACAGACAAGUGCUUUUCACAACUACCAUGGUACACUGAUGUCAACACAUCACCCUUUUUUGCUGCUGAAAGGACAUGACAGUUGCAAUGGAGGUGCAUGGCUCCAUAGACUUUUAUCACAUGUGGGUGUUGCUCAGUCUGGCACAGCAAUUUGUGGUACACUUGAAAAGGAAUUGCAUUAUGAAAAAUGAAAUGAUGAUGAUGAUGAUGAAAAUUCUGCUUGCUGUGUGGAUUCCCUAGUGCAGUCUUAUUAUCACUGCUGCCGUCAUUCAACUUCUGAAGUCUCCAUUCUGUGCUCACUGAUGAACUGCAGCUGAACGAGUGACAUGGAAUGAAUCAAGGCAGUCUCUGGAGAAGGAUCUUAGAGGGCAAUGGUCCAGUGGUUUGGAUGUCUUCUCCACAUUCUCAUAUCAGGCUAGCCUUCAUUUGCUGUUUGUGAGCAGAGACAAACUAGUUCAGCACACUGUGUAUGUCUGCAAAGCACUACAAGCAACAAUUUCCUCACCAAUGGAAACAAUGAAUCAGCUCUGCAAAGGAGCAGUAUAUGCCAGCUGGCUGCCACCUUCUAUUCCCGUGAUGACUAUAUUUCGGUGCUGUUGUGUAUAUAAAGUUUGUGAAGGGAUUUAGGGUCCUUUGGGAUGAAAUGUGAUUGUCCUGGUCCAAUGAUUCUUUAAUUAGUUAUACACAGUGCAACCGCUUGAAAAGGUAAGGUUGAGAAAGGGAGAGUUCAAAAUAUUUCAUAGCCUAAUGGUUGAAGUGCUCAUCUGAGAGGAAGAAGGCCCCUCCCCAUGUGAAACCUUUAUCCUCUUCAGGCAAAGUAAAGAAUUGCUUUUGGGGGUUCCCACCUCUCAGGUGAAGAUCCUGACCAGUGGACUAAAAGUUAUAAACUGGGAGGCUCAAGUGUUCCUACAACUGAGGCUAAUGGGCAAAUUCAUCACUUUCAUAAGUAGAUACAGCCUCUCUUACUUCAGCAGAAUUGGUCUUUCUUUCAUAAGAAGGGAAUUUGCUCCAUUGUUUUUACUUAGCAUUAUUUAUUUUGACUUACUAAGUGCCUCUCACAGCUUCUAAGCACUAUAUGCUGUUAGAACUACCCAGUACAAAAUGAAACAUGCACAUCAUAGGUAGCAAGUGACCUGUGCAAUAUAUUUUACUUGCUUGUCUGAAUAAUAAAAAUCACACACACCCCUCUACAUUUACACACAGUAGCUCUUAAAUCUCUGUUCCCAAAAUGCAUAGGAAAACAGAUGAGCUUUGCAAACAAAUCUGGGUUAUGGCAGACCAGUAAUGUAGAGGGGCAAAUUGCAGAGGGAAGGACCACACUCAUAAAAUGCCCCUCCAGGAACCCCUUUCUUGUGCCUCAUUCAUUAUUCCUCACUGCACCAGGGAUGGUAUCAUAUGGCAAGAGAGUUCUUGUAGAGCUAAUAAAAUGUGUAAAAUCAUCAGAUUGGCUAAUCCUUCUGCCACAGUUAUCAGUUGAAACUGACAUUUCACUGAUAUCCUGACUCCGCAUGAACCACAAAGAAACAUCAGGCUACCAUUUGUAAUUUUGUAAACAGGAAUAUUAAAAGCUAUUCAGCUUUGCUUCCUGCAGGUGAUCCCACCCAGAUGCAUAUCACUGCCUGUUGGAGCAGCAGUGGGAGGAAAAAAUGAAAGGGAAUUUCUUUUCCCAUGAGGCACUGAGUCUUGAAAUGUAUUCAAGUUCAAAAUGUGCAACAAGAGCAACACAGUUUCUUUAAAGCUGCUUCUUUCAUGAGUGCCUCCCACUGGCAUUGUGACAAGCCAGAGCGGCAGUGCGAGAAGCUGCUUUAGAGAAACACUGCAUAGGAUUUCCUUAUUGGAACAGAGGCAGGAGGCAAAAAAUGAAAAACUUGUGGGCACUUGCUCUUGGGCAAGGAAAAUUAACACUAAAAGAAGCAGACUGAUGCCCAAAAUGCGCUGGGAGACAGAUGCUGAAAAUGGGAUAUUUGCCAUAUACAAUAUACAGGCUUAAGCCUGUGCUCCUUCUUAUUACCAUUUGUAAGGGCUGCAGGAUCCAAACAUCUGUUACAGAUAAAGCGCCUAAUAGACAUUGACAUGAUAUUUUAUUUUAGAGGUUACAGUUCACAUGGUAGUUUUUCUGUAUGUCUUACUAUGCAAGCAGGAGUAUUGUGUUGAGAAUUAAAAUGGAACUGCUGAAUUUAAAUAAGCAGCAGGAUUAACCUUGACAUCUGACAGAACAAGCAGAAUAUAUAAUCAUUAUUUCUGAGGCAUGGACUUAAUCCCAGUCCCAUUUAAGAGAAGAAACACCUUCAUAGCUUAUUACUGCAGAAUCAGUGCCUCGCUCCUAGAAAAUCAGUUCCUUACUGUGAGAGACAGCUUGACUAUUGGCAGAAGUGACUAUUCAAGAGAAUCAUUCUUGGAUCUUUUGCUCCCCACACUAGCCUGAAGGUGACAGGCCUAAAUUGUGAAUUUGGCUUGAAAAUAAAGAUUAUAAAUUGUCAUUUGGGAGCUCAGCUCUGGCAGUAGACAUCUUGCUGAUAUCACUUUUGCAACACCAGAAAGAUGGGUAGUCAAUGUCAGAGAUUGCAAACCAAGUUGCAACCUGUUGUGAUACAUGCUUGACAAUCCAGAAAACAAUAUUGCUGUUUAAACAUGAAAUAACGUGUUGACAUAUGAAACAUGAAUGUUCCUCUUGAUUGCAUUAAACCAGUUUUGCAACAACAUAGCUAUUAAUCAGCAGAUUCUACCAUGGUGGAUGUUAGUGCUCUGCCUUCUGUGGAACACUGGUCAUGAUCUCUAACCCCUGGGGGUUUGAUUCUUCUUUCACUUUUGCUAGUGUUAAGUAGGGAUGUGAAUGGCUAACUAGUUAACCAGUGGGGGCUGGAACUGCACCCCACCCAUCACAGGCAGGGGGCUGCUCCAGCCGGGGUGCUCCAGCCUGGCCAGAGCAACUGCUGUUGGUGGCAGGCCUGGCCCAGGUGUACCUCAAACUGGGAGUGCUCCAGCCCAGCUUGAGCAGCGCCUGUCCACAGCAGGGGGACCACUCCAGCCUGCCUGCAGCAGACAGCCCCCUCUGGCCCACCAGUUAAUCAUUGCAUUUAAUCAGUUACAUGGGAUUUUACAUCCCUUGUGUUAAGCUGGAAUUAGUCCCUCUAAAUCAGGGAAGUUAUAAUUAAAGCUAGUAUAAAUGGGAGGGGAAUCAGGUAUUAGAUUAUAUUGCAAAAGUUUUUAGCCAAGCAACUCCCUUGCUGGGAAACCACAGUGAUAAAUAGAUGACAGAGAGACAAGAUGGAUGAGGCUAUAUCUUUUAUUGGACCAACUCCUGUUGUUGAAAGAGACAAGCUUUUGAGCUAUCCGAGCUCUUCUUC